AGUCACUGACAUUAGAUACCCCGGUAGUCCCAGCCGUAAACAAUGUGCGUUAGGUGUGUCGGUAACCACGUGUUACUGAUGCGCCGAAGAGAAAUCGUGAAACGCACCACCUGGGAAGUACGGUCGCAAGGCUGAAACUUAAAGGAAUUGGCGGGGAGCACCACAACAGGUGGAGCCUGCGGUUUAAUUGGUCUCAACGCCGGGAAGCUCACCGGAUAGGACAGCAGAAUGAUUGCCGGGCUGAAGACCCUGCAUGACUAGCUG
rnacentral:rRNA from 1 species